rnacentral:rRNA from 1 species
AACGCUGGCGGAAUGCUUUACACAUGCAAGUCGAACGGUAGAGGGGGCAACCCCUUGAGAGUGGCGAACGGGUGAGUAAUAUAUCGGAACGUGCCCAGUCGUGGGGGAUAACGUAGCGAAAGUUACGCUAAUACCGCAUACGAUCUAAGGAUGAAAGCGGGGGAUCGCAAGACCUCGCGCGACUGGAGCGGCCGAUAUCAGAUUAGGUAGUUGGUAGGGUAAAGGCCUACCAAGCCAACGAUCUGUAGCUGGUCUGAGAGGACGACCAGCCACACUGGAACUGAGACACGGUCCAGACUCCUACGGGAGGCAGCAGUGGGGAAUUUUGGACAAUGGGCGAAAGCCUGAUCCAGCCAUUCCGCGUGCAGGAUGAAGGCCCUCGGGUUGUAAACUGCUUUUGUACAGAACGAAAAGGUUUCUAUUAAUACUAGGAGCUCAUGACGGUACUGUAAGAAUAAGCACCGGCUAACUACGUGCCAGCAGCCGCGGUAAUACGUAGGGUGCAAGCGUUAAUCGGAAUUACUGGGCGUAAAGCGUGCGCAGGCGGUUAUAUAAGUCAGAUGUGAAAUCCCCGGGCUCAACCUGGGAACUGCAUUUGAGACUGUAUAGCUAGAGUACGGUAGAGGGGGAUGGAAUUCCGCGUGUAGCAGUGAAAUGCGUAGAUAUGCGGAGGAACACCGAUGGCGGAAGG